rnacentral:rRNA from 1 species
UACGAGGGGGGCAAAUGUUGUUCGGAAUCACUGGGCGUAAAGCGCACGUAGGCGGACCUUCAAGUCAGGGGUGAAAUCCCGGGGCUCAACCUCGGAACUGCCUUUGAUACUGUUGGUCUUGAAUCCGGUAGAGGUGGGUGGAAUUCCUAGUGUAGAGGUGAAAUUCGUAGAUAUUAGGAAGAACACCGGUGGCGAAGGCGGCCCACUGGACCGGUAUUGACGCUGAGGUGCGAAAGCGUGGGGAGCAAACAGG